CACGAAGUUAGCCGGGGCUUCUUCUGUAGGUACCGUCAUUAUCUUCCCUACUGAAAGAGCUUUACAACCCUAAGGCCUUCAUCACUCACGCGGCAUGGCUGGAUCAGGCUUGCGCCCAUUGUCCAAUAUUCCCCACUGCUGCCUCCCGUAGGAGUCUGGGCCGUGUCUCAGUCCCAGUGUGGCUGAUCAUCCUCUCAGACCAGCUAAAGAUCGUCGCCUUGGUAGGCCAUUACCCCACCAACUAGCUAAUCUUACGCGGGCUCAUCUAAUUCCGAUAAAUCUUUCCCCCGUAGGGCGUAUACGGUAUUAGCAGUCGUUUCCAACUGUUGUUCCGUAGAACUAGGUAGAUUCCCACGCGUUACUCACCCGUCUGCCACUCCCCUUGCGGGGCGUUCGACUUGCAUGUGUUAAGCCUGCCGCCAGCGUUCGUUCUGAGCCAGGAUCAAACUCU
rnacentral:rRNA from 1 species